CACAAGUAUGAAGGCGGGCUGGAACCUCUCGGGGUUACAGCCUUGCUGAAUUAUUCACCCUUGUCUUUUGCGUACUUCUUGUUUCCUUGGUGGGUUCGCCCACCACUAGGACAAACAUAAACCUUUUGUAAUUGCAAUCAGCGUCAGUAACAAAUUAAUAAUUA
rnacentral:misc_RNA from 1 species